CAGCAGCCACGGGAAAACGUAGGGUGCAAGCGUUAAUCGGAAUUACUGGGCGUAAAGCGUGCGCAGGCGGUUCGGAAAGAAAGAUGUGAAAUCCCAGGGCUCAACCUGGGAAUGGCAGUGGAUACUGGCAAGCUAGAGUGUGUCAGAGGAUGGUGGAAUUCCCGGUGUAGCGGUGAAAUGCGUAGAGAUCGGGAGGAACAUCAGUGGCGAAGGCGGCCAUCUGGGACAACACUGACGCUGAGGCACGAAAGCGUGGGGAGCAAACAGGAUUAGAUACCCCUGUAGUCCCUGUCUCUUAUAC
rnacentral:rRNA from 1 species